UCGUCACACUAUCAUUAACUGAAUCCAUAGGUUAAUGAGGCGAACCGGGGGAACUGAAACAUCUAAGUACCCCGAGGAAAAGAAAUCAACCGAGAUUCCCCCAGUAGCGGCGAGCGAACGGGGAGGAGCCCAGAGCCUGAAUCAGCAUGUGUGUUAGUGGAAGCGUCUGGAAAGGCGCGCGAUACAGGGUGACAGCCCCGUACACAAAAGCGCAUGUGCUGUGAGCUCGAUGAGUAGGGCGGGACACGUGGUAUCCUGUCUGAAUAUGGGGGGACCAUCCUCCAAGGCUAAAUACUCCUGACUGACCGAUAGUGAACCAGUACCGUGAGGGAAAGGCGAAAAGAACCCCGGCGAGGGGAGUGAAAAAGAACCUGAAACCGUGUACGUACAAGCAGUGGGAGCCCCACCACCAAAGCAUUUGCUGUACCGCGUUGACGGAGCGAAGCGACGUCAAACCGAUAAAACAGCAGUGUAAAGUGAGCCGCAGGGCGCUUUGCGCGACAGCGCAAAGGCAGGCGGUUUCGCGUAGCGAAAGCGAAUGCUUUGGGGUGGGGUGACUGCGUACCUUUUGUAUAAUGGGUCAGCGACUUAUAUUCUGUAGCAAGGUUAACCGAAUAGGGGAGCCGGAGGGAAACCGAGUCUUAAUUGGGCGUUAAGUUGCAGGGUAUAGACCCGAAACCCGGUGAUCUAGCCAUGGGCAGGUUGAAGGUUGGGUAACACUAACUGGAGGACCGAACCGACUAAUGUUGAAAAAUUAGCGGAUGACCUGUGGCUGGGGGUGAAAGGCCAAUCAAACCGGGAGAUAGCUGGUUCUCCCCGAAAGCUAUUUAGGUAGCGCCUCGUGAAUUCAUCUCCGGGGGUAGAGCACUGUUUCGGCUAGGGGGCCAUCCCGGCUUACCAACCCGAUGCAAACUGCGAAUACCGGAGAAUGUUAUCACGGGAGACACACGGCGGGUGCUAACGUCCGUCGUGAAGAGGGAAACAACCCAGACCGCCAGCUAAGGUCCCAAAGUCAUGGUUAAGUGGGAAACGAUGUGGGAAGGCCCAGACAGCCAGGAUGUUGGCUUAGAAGCAGCCAUCAUUUAAAGAAAGCGUAAUAGCUCACUGGUCGAGUCGGCCUGCGCGGAAGAUGUAACGGGGCUAAACCAUGCACCGAAGCUGCGGCAGCGACACUGUGUGUUGUUGGGUAGGGGAGCGUUCUGUAAGCCUGUGAAGGUGUGUCGUGAGGCAUGCUGGAGGUAUCAGAAGUGCGAAUGCUGACAUAAGUAACGAUAAAGCGGGUGAAAAGCCCGCUCGCCGGAAGACCAAGGGUUCCUGUCCAACGUUAAUCGGGGCAGGGUGAGUCGACCCCUAAGGCGAGGCCGAAAGGCGUAGUCGAUGGGAAACGGGUUAAUAUUCCCGUACUUGGUGUUACUGCGAAGGGGGGACGGAGAAGGCUAUGUUGGCCGGG
rnacentral:rRNA from 2 species